rnacentral:rRNA from 1 species
CACGAAGUUAGCCGGGGCUUCUUCUCCGGCUACAGUCAUUAUCUUCACCGGUGAAAGGAUUUUACAAUCCUAAGACCUUCAUCAUCCACGCGGCAUGGCUGCGUCAGGCUUUCGCCCAUUGCGCAAGAUUCCCCACUGCUGCCUCCCGUAGGAGUUUGGGCCGUGUCUCAGUCCCAAUGUGGCUGGUCAUCCUCUCAGACCAGCUACUGAUCGUAGCCUUGGUGAGCCUUUACCUCACCAACUAGCUAAUCAGACGCGGGCCGCUCUAAAGGCGAUAAAUCUUUCCCCCGAAGGGCACAUUCGGUAUUAGCACAGGUUUCCCUGAGUUAUUCCGAACCUAAAGGCACGUUCCCACGUGUUACUCACCCGUCCGCCACUAACUCCGAAGAGUUCGUUCGACUUGCAUGUGUUAGGCCUGCCGCCAGCGUUCGCUCUGAGCCAGGAUCAAACUCU